rnacentral:rRNA from 1 species
AUUGAACGCUGGCGGCAUGCCUUACUCAUGCAAGUCGAACGGCAUCGCGGGAAAGCUUGCUUUCCUGGCGGCGAGUGGCGAACGGGUGAGUAACACAUCGGAACGUACCGGCUAGUGGGGGAUAACCCGUCGAAAGACGGGCUAAUACCGCAUACGCUCUUCGGAGGAAAGCAGGGGACCUUUGGGCCUUGCGCUAGUCGAGCGGCCGAUGUCCGAUUAGCUAGUUGGUGGGGUAAAGGCCUACCAAGGCGACGAUCGGUAGCGGGUCUGAGAGGACGAUCCGCCACACUGGGACUGAGACACGGCCCAGACUCCUACGGGAGGCAGCAGUGGGGAAUCUUGGACAAUGGGGGCAACCCUGAUCCAGCAAUGCCGCGUGGGUGAAGAAGGCCUUCGGGUUGUAAAGCCCUUUCGGCAGGGAAGAAAUCGGCGGGGCGAAUAACCCUGCUGGAUGACGGUACCUGCAGAAGAAGCACCGGCUAACUACGUG